GCAUUUUCAAAGUCACUAAAAGAAAACAUCUUCUCCAUAUUUUCAAACACAUCAUCAAACAGUCCACCUCCAAAGGAGAACUCUUGGAAAGAACGUCUUUGCCGAUUGUGAGCUUCCCGAUGACUUCGGAAGUGAUUUUCAAAGUGCUUUUUCGACCGUGAGUAUUGACUGAAGAGGUCAUAGUCUUUGAAUAGAUCAUCAAAGUUGAAGUUAAAUGACGACUGAUGAAAUGGGCUUCCAUUAUCUCCUUGUCCUCCAUGACGGCCAAAUUGAUCGUAUUCUCUUCGUUUAUUCUCAUCUGAUAACGUUUCAUAUGCUUCAGCAAUUUCUCUAAAUUUUGCUUCUGCACCAGGACUCUUAUUUUUAUCUGGGUGGUAUUUCAUCGCCAGUUUGUGAAAUGCCUUCUUGAUCUGGCGGUCAGAUGCAUUUUUCGGAACUCCUAAGAUAUCGUAGUAGCUCUCUGUAGCCAGUAUUAGCUCAGUUAUCAUCAAAAUGCAGAGAGCAAACGUGAAGAUAGAUUGCGUAGUUGCCAUUUCUGUGGUUUCUCAGCACCGCUCGCACUGAGGCCGCUGCCCCGCGGCGUCUCGCGCCACUCCUGCCCAACAGCCCCC
rnacentral:lncRNA from 1 species